rnacentral:lncRNA from 1 species
UUUCAUGGUCAUGCAAUUUCUUGGUCCUGCGUUUGCCGACUUCUAGUUCUUGCCUGCUACUCAAUCUUCUGGAGGUAUACUGGUUCCUCGGACCCCACUGCUCUGUCUAUGGACAGCUUCUCGUAUGACACAAACUUCCUUACUCACAAGGUGAAUGAGAUCAACGGAAGCUCUUGGUGGAUCUCAGUUGUCUAUGGGCCGUGGAGCUUUCCUGACAAAGUCGAAUACCUCUUGGAUCUUAGGGCUCGUCAUGCUGCGUGCUCUGGACCGUGGCUCGUGCUUGGCGACUUCAAUAUGAUCUUGAGAGCCUCUGAGAAAAGCAACAUUAAUCUGGAUCGUCAGACUAUGAACAGAUCGCGUACAUUUGUGGACGAACAUGAAUUAAGGGAGAUUUACAUGCAUGGCCGGCAAUAUACAUGGAGCAAUGAAAGGGAUACACCUACGCUGACCAUGAUUGACAUGGUCCUUGCGUCGAUUGAUUGGGAACUCCUGCACCCUGACAAUCUCUUGCAAGCUUUGUCCACUCGGUCUAUGACCAUGCAUCCCUUUU